GGUGAACGCUGGCGGCGUGCUUAAGACAUGCAAGUCGAACGGCAGUCUUCGGACUGUAGUGGCGCACGGGUGAGUAACGCGUAACUGACCUACCCCAAAGUCGCGGAUAACGAUUCGAAAGAAUCGCUAAUACGUGAUGUGCUGUCAGAUUGUGUUCUGCCAGUAAAGAUUGAUUGCUUUGGGAUGGGGUUGCGUUCCAUCAGCUAGUUGGUGGGGUAAAGGCCCACCAAGGCGACGACGGAUAGCCGGCCUGAGAGGGUGGCCGGCCACAGGGGAACUGAGACACGGGGACUCCUCCUACGGGAGGCAGCAGUUAGGAAUCUUCCACAAGGGGCGUAAGCCUGAUGGAGCUACGCCGUGUGAGGGAUGCAGGUCCUCGGAUCGUAAACCUCUGAAUCAGGCAAGAAAGCCACGUCGGUGGGAUGACGGUACCUGACUAAUAGCACCGGCUAACUCCGUGCCAGCCGCCGCCGUAACAC
rnacentral:rRNA from 1 species